UACCAGCACCCCGAGUGGUCGGGACGUUUAUUGGGGCCUAAAGCAUCCGUAGCCGGUUCUACAAGUCUUCCGUUAAAUCCACCUGCUUAACAGAUGGGCUGCGGAGGAUACUAUAGAGCUGAGGAGGCGGGAGAGGCAAGCGGUACUUAGUGGGUGAGGGGUAAAAUCCGUUGAUCCAGUUGAAGACCACCAGUCGGCGAAGGCGGCUUGC
rnacentral:rRNA from 1 species